GUGAUCGCUUUGGGGCACAUACACUAAAAUUGGAAUGAUACAGAAAAGAUUAGCAUGGCCCCUGUGCAAGGAUGGCAUGCAAAUUCGUGAAGUGUUCCAUAUUGUA
rnacentral:snRNA from 1 species